GGAUUAGAUACCCUGGUAGUCCACGCCGUAAACGAUGGGCACUAAGCGUCCGACGGGUUCGACCCUGUUGGGUGCUGCAGUUAACGCGUUAAGUGCCCCGCCUGGGGAGUACGGUCGCAAGACUAAAACUCAAAGGAAUUGACAGGGGCCCGCACAAGCGGUGGAACAUGCGGUUUAAUUCGAUGCUACGCGAAAAACCUUACCAACCCUUGGCAUGCAAAUUUUGAAUUAUGGAGACAUAAUUCUUCAGUUCGGCUGGGUUUGCACAGGUGUUGCAUGGCUGUCGUCAGCUCGUGCUG
rnacentral:rRNA from 1 species